CGGAGACGCUGCUCCGGUAUAUUCAUCGGGACGCUGCCCGGCAUGAGUUCAUCGGGACGCUGCCCUGCAUGAGUUCAUCGGGACGCUGCCCGACAUGAGUUCAUCGGGACGCUGCCUGGCAUGAGUUCAUCGGGACGCUGCCUGGCAUGAGUUCAUCGGGUCGCUGCCCGGCAUGGUUCAUCGGGACGUUGCCCGGCAUGGUCAUCGGAGGCGCUGCUCCGGCAUGGUUUCAUCGGGACGCUACUCGGCAUGUUGGCUUUGACAUCAUUGACACCCGAAGGUGCCGUUGUGAGGAGGGC
rnacentral:lncRNA from 1 species